rnacentral:rRNA from 1 species
AAGAUUAAGCCAUGCAUGUCUAAGUAUAAGCAAUUUAUACAGUGAAACUGCGAAUGGCUCAUUAAAUCAGUUAUCGUUUACUUGAUAGUUUCUUUACUACUUGGAUAACCGUGGUAAUUCUAGAGCUAAUACAUGCAAAAAAUCCCGACUCACGAAGGGAUGUAUUUAUUAGAUAAAAAACCAAUGUUCUUCGGAACUCAGUGGUGAUUCAUAAUAACUUUUCGAAUCGCAU